rnacentral:lncRNA from 1 species
AUGCCGUUUGUCCUUUUAAUGGGGGUCCGGCCUCUGCGGCUCGGCCGGUUCUCCGCCCUGUGGGCAAGCGCGAAGGCGGGCGCCCCGUUUCCAGCCACUCUGCACGGGGCUGGUGGGCUCUCCACUGUUUAUUGUUGCGCCUCUGCUUUUUCGGUGCCACCAUUAGGGUUAGAGUCAGGAAAUCGGCAACGCAAGUUGGCUCUUCCUGAAUCUUCCUCUCCCUCUCGCUGUCUCCCUGCCUCCUGCUGCCGUCCCCCUCUCUGUCUCUCUCUCUCUCUCUCUCUGUCUCUCUCUGUGUGUCUCUCCCUCUCUCUGUCUCUGGCUCUUUGUCUCUGUCUCUUUGUCUCCCUCCCUCUCUCUCUCUCUCUGUCUCUCUCUGUGUGUCUCUCCCUCUCUCUGUCUCUGGCUCUUUGUCUCUGUCUCUUUGUCUCUCUCUCUGUGUCCCUCUCUCUCUGUCUCUGUCCCUCCAUCUCUCUGUCUCUCUCUGUCUCUGUCUCUGUCUCUCUCUGUGUCUCUCCCUCUCUCUGUCUCUCUCUCUGUCUCUCUGUCUCUGUCUCUCCCUCUCUCUGUCUCUCUCUGUCUCUGUCCCUCCAUCUCUCUGUCUCUCUCUGUCUCUCUCUCUCUCUCUGUGUCUCUCCCUCUCUGUCUCUGUCUCUUUGUCUCUCUCUCUCUGUGUCCCUCUGUCUCUGUCCCUCCAUCUCUCUGUCUCUGUCUCUCUGUCCCUCCAUCUCUCUGUCUCUCUCUGUCCCUCUCCAUCUCUCUGUCUCUGUCUCUGUCUCUGUCUCUCUGUCUCUCUGUCCCUCUCUGUCUCUGUCUCUGUCUCUCUCUCUCUUUGGCCUCAUUUCAGAGUGGCCCCAUGGACCAGCUCCCUGCAGUCCCAUGAUUUGGGUAUUCCGGCUUGGUGCCUGGGGUCAGGUGAUUUCUGUGGCCAAUCAGGAGCCACAGAGAGGACGGGCACACCGGGCAGGACACAUGGUAGGGCCUUGGGACACAGGCCAUUCGGACUGGGGGGAAGAAAGGGCACGCGUGGCAUCGGGCAUCCAGGCAGCUUCGCGGAGGUGA